AAUCUUGCGCAAUGGGCGAAAGCCUGACGCAGCAACGCCGCGUGGGGGACGAAGGCUUUCUGAGUUGUAAACCCCUUUCAGCAGGGACGAUUGUGACGGUACCUGCAGAAGAAGCACCGGCUAACUACGUGCCAGCAGCCGCGGUGAUACGUAGGGUGCAAGCGUUGUCCGGAUUUAUUGGGCGUAAAGAGCUCGUAGGCGGUUCGAUAAGUCGGGUGUGAAACCCCCAGGCUCAACCUGGGGCCUGCACUCGAUACUGUCGUGACUAGAGUCCGGUAGGGGACCAUGGAAUUCCUGGUGUAGCGGUGAAAUGCGCAGAUAUCAGGAGGAACACCAGCAGCGAAGGCGGUGGUCUGGGCCGGCACUGACGCUGAGGAGCGAAAGCGUGGGGAGCGA
rnacentral:rRNA from 1 species